ACGAACGCUGGCGGCGUGGCUAAGGCAUGCAAGUCGAACGGUCCUGCUCAACGGGUAACUGAAGGGCAGGAUAGUGGCGAACGGGUGAGGAAUUCAUGGAUAACGUACCCCAGACACAGGGAUAGCGGCGGGGGAAACCCCUUUGCGAAAGUGCCGGUAAUACCUGAUGACCCCGAUGGGUCGCAUGAUCUGUCGGGCAAAGCUCCGACGGUCUGGGAGCGGUUCAUGUCCUAUCAGCUAGUUGGUGAGGUAACGGCCCACCAAGGCAAUGACGGGUAUCGGGCGUGAGAGCGUGGCCCGACACAUCGGAACUGAGACACUGUCCGGACACCUACGGGUGGCUGCAGCAACGAAUAUUCCGCAAUGGACGCAAGUCUGACGGAGCGACGCCGCGUGCAGGAAGAAGUCCCUCGGGAUGUAAACUGCUGUCAGGGGUGAGGAAAUUUGACCAGCCCCAGAGGAAGCACCGGCUAACUCCGU
rnacentral:rRNA from 1 species